CUCCUACGGGCGGCAGCAGUGGGGAAUAUUGCACAAUGGGCGCAAGCCUGAUGCAGCAACGCCGCGUGAGGGACGACGGCCUUCGGGUUGUAAACCUCUUUCAGCAGGGAAGAAGCGCCUGGGUUUUCUUGGGUGUGACGGUACCUGCAGAAGAAGCACCGGCUAACUACGUGCCAGCAGCCGCGGUAAUACGUAGGGUGCAAGCGUUGUCCGGAAUUAUUGGGCGUAAAGAGCUUGUAGGCGGUUUGUCGCGUCUGCUGUGAAAUUUCGGGGCUCAACCCCGAACUUGCAGUGGGUACGGGCAGACUAGAGUGUGGUAGGGGAGACUGGAAUUCCUGGUGUAGCGGUGAAAUGCGCAGAUAUCAGGAGGAACACCGAUGGCGAAGGCAGGUCUCUGGGCCACUACUGACGCUGAGAAGCGAAAGCAUGGGGAGCGAACAGGAUUAGAUACCCUGGUAGUC
rnacentral:rRNA from 1 species